rnacentral:rRNA from 1 species
ACUGGAGAUGGCGACCGGCGCACGGGUGAGUAACACGUAUCCAACCUGCCGAUAACUCGGGGAUAGCCUUUCGAAAGAAAGAUUAAUACCCGAUGGUAUAAUCAGACCGCAUGGUCUUGUUAUUAAAGAAUUUCGGUUAUCGAUGGGGAUGCGCUCCAUUAGGCAGUUGGUGAGGUAACGGCUCACCAAACCUUCGAUGGAUAGGGGUUCUGAGAGGAAGGUCCCCCACAUUGGAACUGAGACACGGUCCAAACUCCUACGGGAGGCAGCAGUGAGGAAUAUUGGUCAAUGGGCGCAGGCCUGAACCAGCCAAGUAGCGUGAAGGAUGACUGCCCUAUGGGUUGUAAACUUCUUUUAUAUGGGAAUAAAGUUUUCCACGUGUGGAAUUUUGUAUGUACCAUAUGAAUAAGGAUCGGCUAACUCCGUGCCAGCAGCCGCGGUAAUACGGAGGAUCCGAGCGUUAUCCGGAUUUAUUGGGUUUAAAGGGAGCGUAGGUGGACAGUUAAGUCAGUUGUGAAAGUUUGCGGCUCAACCGUAAAAUUGCAGUUGAUACUGGCUGUCUUGAGUACAGUAGAGGUGGGCGGAAUUCGUGGUGUAGCGGUGAAAUGCUUAGAUAUCA